UUUUUAUCAAGAAAGACGGAGGGACUGGCCCAAUGAUGUCUAGCAACCUGGAUUAAAUGUUAUCAUUAGUUUAAGGUGCUAAUUCCUGCAGAUUUUAUAUCUGGUAGAUAAGAA
rnacentral:ncRNA from 2 species